AGCUGAUGAUGGACACGCAGCACAGGAGGCUAAGAACAGAGCUCUGUGGGGCGAGGUGUGGGGAGAGGGGCCUGCUCUCACCUAGACCCAAAACACUGAGGUCUCCAAAGCUGCUGGGAAUGGAAUGGCGAUGAAAAGCGCAGGAGUGGGCAGGGUGUGGUGGGUGAUGGUGGCCUCACUCAGAGUGGACCAAGGCCCCA
rnacentral:lncRNA from 10 species